rnacentral:lncRNA from 1 species
AGAAGAACAGUGUUCUUUGCUUUGCAAAAUCCAGUGAUGCAAUAGUUUUCCCUGCAAAAAUUAGACUGUUUUUGCUUAAAAUUGUUGAAAAAACAAUGGCAUUUUUAUAUUUUGUUCAUUUAAAAGUUUUCCAAAAUGUUGCAUUUUCUUAUUGCGCCUACAGGCUUUCCUGCUUGCAGACCUCUGUCUCAGAUUUUGGAUACUUGUUGACCCAGAAACCUUCCUGGAAGGAAUCUUCACAGCUCUCCAUGGAUCCAUAAAAUAUGAAGAUGACAUCAUCUUACUAAAGCUCAUGUUUAUUUGAUGGUCUUUCAUGAUCCGAAGUCCUUUAUUUCCUUCAUUAAGCAGAAGAAAAUGCAAAGUGAAACAAGAACCAGGGGGAGAAAUGGGCAUUAUUUAGACUUAAAUCCUUACAAGAGGAUCCCACAUGGACUGGCCAGAAUUCCACCAGGCGCCGUGUUCAUCCCUGCACUUGAAGUACAGACCACAAGAAAAGAAGUCACUUUCUUGGAACAAAAACUGUUUCAAAAAAAGCAAGCAGUUCAGCCUUAUAGAUACAAAAAGGAAAGUGAUGGCAUUACAGGCAUACCAGAGUUGUUCUGCAGCACUUAAAAUGCCACUCAUCAGUCUUAAUUUUCAUUAAUAAACUAAAGCAAAUUUUAUAUGGUGUGUUUUAUUUUUGUUGAUGUGGUAAUAG